rnacentral:misc_RNA from 1 species
GGCCUCCUUCUCUUAUUCUCCACACUAUACAACUUCCAGCACUUUAUUUUUUUUUUUUUUACAUUUUUGUUAAAUUUGUUAAAUAUUUAGUGUAAUAUACUUCUUUAUUAAAUGGGUAUUGUGAAUUGUUACAUGUUUUUAUUAAAUGGGUACUGAUGCUCUUGCAAUGACGUAGUGUAAUUGUGCAAAUUAUUAAGAAAAUCAAUUGUUUAAUACUUUAAUUUCUUAUUUGCUUGAAUUGGGACA